rnacentral:rRNA from 1 species
UACAGAGGGUGCAAGCGUUAAUCGGAUUUACUGGGCGUAAAGCGUGCGUAGGCGGUUCAGUAUGUCGGUCGUGAAAUCCCCGGGCUUAACCUGGGAACUGCGGCCGAAACUGCUGAGCUUGAGUGUGGUAGAGGAAGGUGGAAUUCCAGGUGUAGCGGUGAAAUGCGUAGAUAUCUGGAGGAACACCGAUGGCGAAGGCAGCCUUCUGGGCCACAACUGACGCUGAGGUACGAAAGCGUGGGUAGCAAACAGG